CGCAGUGCGCAGAGCGGGUUUGUCUGCGCGCCCCCGCCAGGGACUAUAAAAACCUCGCCACCUGCUGCCACCAGAGCGCCCGCUAGCAGCGAGAAGCCGGUUCAUCGCCUCCUGUCUCCAGCAGUAACUGCUCUCACUAUGGACCCUGAGACCUGUCCCUGCCCUUCCGGUGGCUCCUGCACCUGCACUGACUCCUGCAAAUGUGAGGGAUGCAAAUGUACCUCCUGCAAGAAGAGCUGCUGUUCCUGCUGCCCAGCUGAAUGUGAGAAAUGUGCCAAGGAUUGUAGGUGCAAGGAUGGGGAGGGAGCCAAGACGGAGGCCGAGAAGUGCAGCUGCUGCCAGUGAAGAUGUGCUCCUCUUUGGGAAACGCGUAAAUAUUGUUGGGCUGUCCAGUGUGAACUCUCCCCACCAUGAGGGAUGCCCGUGUGUCCCCUUCCCUGUUGGCCGCUGGCCAGGAACAAUAAACCUUAUGAAUGACAGUAACAAA